GGGGGUUCAAUUUGAUUGACGGACGUAGCUCCAGUAUACUCCUGAACACUACUGGACAGACCAGUGUUCUGUGGCUGCAGGGCAGAGUCUGCUGACGGUGUCUCUGCUUAUCGGCGGCGUCAUGCCCGUGUAGGGUCGGACAGCCGAGGUUGUGGCUGGUUCUCUGGCUCAAGCUUGCCGUGUCCGCGAGGUCCGUGCGGAAAAAUUACGUCAUUUUCGCAUCCACGCCCCCUCGAGCGACCUUUCCGUGCGGAAAAUUUCCGCUCCGCGCACCUCCACAUUUUUCUGGGUGAAAGUCCCUAGGUGGCGUUGUCGGUUCCGUGUAAAAGAAACCAGAAGACCCUCACCAGUCCUAACUUGGUUACAUUAGCAUUAGGCUUAAACAUUCAGUGCCAAAGUACAGCCUCUGAGAGCUGCUCUAUCAUCAGCUGUAUCUGCAUUAAGUUGUCCAAUAUUCAGUUGAGCAACUUUGUUGUUUACCUACAAUAAGUUGUAUUACAGGUUUUAGCUGAAUGUGUGUGUGCGCAUACAGUAUGUACACUAGUAAAUGCUUGACUGUUACAUGUCUAUGCAAUCUGUAUGCAAAUAAUAAAUGCAGUAGCCCCCAAACAUUUUCUGUAAGG
ensembl:lncRNA